rnacentral:misc_RNA from 1 species
UCACCCCUCAAGCCCUGUGCUUGGUGUUGGACGGCCUGGUCGAGCCACGCUCGACCCCUCCUAAAGACAAUGACGGCGGCCUGUGGUUCCCCCGGUACACUGAGCUUUUUACUGAGCACGUAUUGGAUAAGGGCGCCCGGGACACGGUCCUCUCCUUUCACUAGGAAACUUUCCAAA